rnacentral:rRNA from 1 species
UACAGAGGGGGCAAGCGUUGUUCGGAAUUACUGGGCGUAAAGGGCGCGUAGGCGGCCGCUUGCGUCGGACGUGAAAGCCCGGGGCUCAACCCCGGAACGGCAUCCGAUACGGGGCGGCUCGAGACCGAGAGAGGUGAGUGGAAUACCUAGUGUAGAGGUGAAAUUCGUAGAUAUUGGGUGGAACACCGGUGGCGAAAGCGGCUCACUGGCUCGGUUCUGACGCUGAGGCGCGAAAGCGUGGGGAGCAAACAGG